rnacentral:rRNA from 1 species
UACGUAGGGUGCAAGCGUUGUCCGGAAUUACUGGGCGUAAAGAGCUCGUAGGCGGCUUGUCGCGUUGUUCGUGAAAAUUUACCGCUCAACGGUGAACUUGCGGGCGAUACGGGCAGGCUAGAGUACUGCAGGGGAGACUGGAAUUCCUGGUGUAGCGGUGAAAUGCGCAGAUAUCAGGAGGAACACCGGUGGCGAAGGCGGGUCUCUGGGCAGUAACUGACGCUGAGGAGCGAAAGCGUGGGGAGCGAACAGG